GUGCCAGCCGCCGCGGUAAUACCGGCAGCUCGAGUGAUGUCCAAUAUUAUUGGGCCUAAAGCGUCCGUAGCUGGCCGCGCAAGUCCGUCGGGAAAUCCACCUGCCCAACAGGUGGGCGUCCGACGGAAACUGUGUGGCUUGGAACCGGAAGGCUCAGAGGGUACGUCCGGGGUAGGAGUGAAAUCCCGUAAUCCCGGACGGACCACCGAUGGCGAAGGCACUUCGAGAAAACGGAUCCGACAGUGAGGGACGAAAGCCAGGGUCUCCAACCGGAUUAGAUACCCCAGUAGUCC
rnacentral:rRNA from 1 species